GACGAGGUGGUGGAGCGGUCUAACACGCUGGCUUAAGGAAAUAUAAAAUGUACGUCAGUCCUUCGGGGCGCGGGUUCGAAUCCCGUCCUCGUCA